AAUCAACGCUGGCGGCGCGCUUAACACAUGCAAGUCGCACGAGAAAGUGGAGCAAUCCAUGAGUAAAGUGGCGUACGGGUGAGUAACACGUGGAUCAUCUACCUUUUAGUGGGGAAUACCCCCUGGGAAACCGGGGACAAUACCGCAUAAUCCCGUGAGGGGAAAGCAGCAAUGCGCUGAAAGAGGAGUCCGCGGCUCAUUAGCUAGAUGGCGGGGUAACGGCCCACCAUGGCGAAGAUGGGUAGCCGGCCUGAGAGGGCACACGGCCAC
rnacentral:rRNA from 1 species